CCUUUUGGUAGGAUCAUCCUUUCCCUAUGCCCCAGGAAGCAGGAUGCAGAGAAGUUUGUGUUGCCCCAGCUGUAGCCUAUUACUUCGGGUGGGUCAAGAGGAAGGGAGAGGUGAAAUUUUCUGAUACAGCAUAAAUCUGAGAAAUAUAUUGGGAGGGAUGGUGAUUUGAUGCAAGUUUCUGCAAGCAAAAUGGUUUUCCUGAUUCAUGUGUUGUUCCCUCAUUAAGUUUAAAUCUGAGUAAUUUGUUCCUGCUGGAGCUUCCCCACUGGGAUGGGUGAGAACAUGGCUCUGAGGUAGUGUUCCAGGGUAUGGGAGACUCUAAGGCACAGUCUGAUGUGCAGAACAUGCAGUACCUACCAGCCACAGUCACCUCUCAGGCAUCAUGCAGCUGCAAAUGCUUUUUCCCAGGUCCCUCCUGUCUGCUGUGUCAGCCCUGCAAGGAACUAGUGUGGAAAGAAUGGUGGAAGUGUCCCUUCCAUCCACAGAGAAGGCUCUGCUCAGUACCUGUACUGAUGGCAAAUGUGAGGUUUUGUCACAGAAGGAACCAGCACAUAAAAUGCCUUGAAGACUUACCUUGCUCUCCCAGGAGGGCUUGGCUUUCUGGGCUCCAAGCACGCACUGCUGGGUCAUGUCCAGCCUCACAAGCCCUUCUGGGCAGGGCUGCUCUUGAGCUGUUCCUCCCUCAGCCUGUGCUGAUAUUUGGGGCUGCCCUGACCCAGUAGCAGCACCUUGAUCUUGGUCUUGUUUAACCUCAUGAUACUCCCAGGGACCCACUUAUUGAGCUAGACCAGGUGCCUCUGGACGGCAUCCCAUCCUCCAAGUGUGGCAAAUUAGCUGAGGGUGCACUGGAGCUCUAUGUCAUUAAUGAAGAUAUUUAAAUAACACUGGUCCCAGUAUGGACCCCUAAGAGACACCACUUGUCCUGAAGUCCAUCAGGAUCCUGAGCCACUGACCACUGUCCCCUGGAUGAAACUGUUCAACCAAUUUCUUAUCCAUCUAACAGUCCACUCAUUAACUCCAUCACUCUCUGAUUUAGAGAGAAGGAUGUUGUGGGGGGGACCCUGUCAAAGGCUUUAUUGAAGCCCAGAAAAAUGACAUCUGCAGCCCUUCUUUUGUCUGCUGAUGCAGUCACUCAAUUGAAGAAGGCCACAGGGUUGGCCAGCCAAGACUUUCCUUUGCAGAAGCUGUGCUGGCUGUCCCAAAUCCCCUCCCUGUUCUCC
rnacentral:lncRNA from 1 species